rnacentral:rRNA from 1 species
UCCUACGGGAGGCAGCAGUAGGGAAUCUUGCGCAAUGGGCGAAAGCCUGACGCAGCAAUGCCGCGUGCGGGACGAAGGCCCUAGGGUCGUAAACCGCUUUCAGUAGGGACGAAAAUGACGGUACCUGCAGAAGAAGCUCCGGCCAACUACGUGCCAGCAGCCGCGGUGAUACGUAGGGAGCAAGCGUUGUCCGGAAUUACUGGGCGUAAAGGGCUCGUAGGUGGUUGAGUAAGUCAGAUGUGAAAUCUCAGGGCCCAACCCUGAGCCUGCAUUUGAUACUGCUCUGACUAGAGUCCGGUAGGGGAGUGCGGAACUUCUGGUGUAGCGGUGAAAUGCGCAGAUAUCAGGAAGAACACCGACAGCGAAGGCAGCACUCUGGGCCGGUACUGACACUGAGGAGCGAAAGCAUGGGUAGCAAACAGGAUUAGAUACCCUGGUAGUCCAUGCCGUAAACGUUGGGCACUAGGUGUGGGGAGAACUCAACUCUCUCCGCGCCGUAGCUAACGCAUUAAGUGCCCCGCCUGGGGAGUACGGCCGCAAGGCUAAAACUCAAAGGAAUUGACGG